UCAGCGCGCUACCCGGAAGUGGCGUGGCUGGCAGGGCUCCUACCACCUCCGGUUCUGGAGUAGAGUGAGCGGCGUCUUCAUCAAAUUCCCCCCCGGACCAGGUCCUGGUCGUGACAUCGCGGCCGACCCCAGCAGCUGCUGCUGGCAUCGCGGCCGUUUCCCGGUCCCGGUCCCGGUCCCGGUCCCGGGUACGGCCUGGUGUAGUUGUGCCGGAGCGGUGUGGACUCUGUGCCGAGACGAUGGGCUCUAUGUUCCGCGGUGAAGAGAUGUGCCUGGCCCAGCUGUUCCUCCAAGCCGCCUCGGCCUAUGAUUGUGUCAGUGAGCUCGGGGAGGCCGGUUUAGUGGAAUUCAGAGACCUCAACCCAAAUGUCACAACCUUCCAGCGUAAAUUUGUCAGUGAGAUGAGGAGGUGUGAAGAGAUGGAGAAAACACUAGGCUAUUUGCUGCAAGAAAUUAAGAAAGCUGAUAUCUCUCUGAUGGACAGUGAUGUAAAUCCUGUUGCACCUCUACCGAAGCAUGUUUUAAAAAUACAAGAGCAGCUUCAACAGCUGGAAGCGGAGCUGAAAGAAGUGACAAAAAACAAAGAGACUCUAAAGAGAAAUUAUUUAGAGCUGACUGAAUACAGUCACAUGCUGAGAGUAACACAGAACUUUGUCAAAAGGGCUUCUGAGCUUGACCUUGCCUCCCAGACUCAAUUUGAGGAAUUUCCUUCGUUGGAUAAAGAGCCACUAAUGGACCAUACGAACAUGCAGCGGCUAGGAGCCAAGUUAGGGUUUAUAGCUGGCAUAAUACAUCCAUGGAAGAUUGGACCUUUUGAACGGAUGCUGUGGAGAGUCUGUAAGGGUUAUACAAUCCUCACAUACAAAGAAUUAGAUGUUGCUCUCGAGGAUCCAGAGUGUGGGGACGAUGUGAAAUGGGUUGUGUUUUUAGUGUCAUACUGGGGUGAACAGAUUGGUCAGAAGGUGAAGAAGAUUUGCGAUUGUUAUCACUGCCAUGUCUAUCCUUACCCAAGUACAAAUCAGGAGAGGAACGACAUUGUUGCAGGACUCAACACUCGAAUUCAGGAUCUCCAUACAGUACUAUAUAGAACUGAGGAAUAUCUUCAGCAAGUUCUAUGCAAGGCAUCAGAAUCUAUCCACACGUGGCUUGUUCAAGUGAAGAAGAUGAAGGCUAUUUACCAUAUCCUGAACCUCUGCAGUUUUGAUGUCACCAAUAAAUGUCUGAUUGCUGAGGUCUGGUGUCCGUUGGCUGAUCUGGCCAAAGUUCGCCAAGCGUUGGAAGAAGGAUCUAGGAAGAGUAGUGCCACAGUUCCAUCAUUUGUGAACCGAAUACCAACAACAGACACUCCCCCAUCUCUCCUCCGAACAAAUAAAUUCACUUCUGGGUUUCAAAAUAUUGUGGAUGCUUAUGGAGUUGGAAGCUACCGGGAAGUUAACCCAGGUCCUUACACCAUUGUCACUUUCCCUUUCCUCUUUGCUGUAAUGUUUGGAGACUUUGGACACGGUCUGAUCAUGUCUGUGUUUGCUUUAUGGAUGGUGCUUUCCGAAAACAACCCAAAAUUAAAACGAACAAGAAAUGAGAUCUGGAACACCUUCUUUGAUGGGCGCUAUAUCAUCCUGAUGAUGGGAAUAUUUUCCUUGUAUACUGGUCUUAUCUACAAUGACUGCUUUUCAAAGUCUUUGAAUAUAUUUGGGUCUGGAUGGAGUGUCAAAAGUAUGUAUAACAACAACAUCUGGAAGGAUGAUGAUCUUCGCUAUAAUCAGUAUCUAACCCUGGAUCCCAAUGUCACUGGUGUUUUCAAAGGGCCCUAUCCAUUUGGUAUUGACCCGAUUUGGAAUCUGGCAAGUAAUCGUCUCAGUUUUCUGAAUUCAUUUAAAAUGAAAAUGUCAGUGAUCCUGGGCAUUAUUCACAUGACCUUUGGAGUCAUUCUUGGAGUCUUUAAUCACUUGCACUUUAAGAAGAAAUUUAAUAUUUACCUGGUAUUUAUCCCUGAACUGCUCUUCAUGAUGUGUCUCUUUGGGUACCUUGUCUUUAUGAUUAUAUAUAAAUGGUUGGCAUAUUCUGCUGCAAACUCCGAUUUGGCUCCAAGCAUCUUGAUUCAUUUCAUUAAUAUGUUCGUCAUGCAGCAGAACCAAGAUGCGAAACUUUAUCCUGGACAGAAUGGAUGCCAAAUGUUCCUUGUUGUGAUUGCUGUACUAUCCAUUCCAGUUUUGCUGUUUGGAAAACCAGGAUAUCUCUACUGGAAGCAUCAUGGAGGAAGAAACUUUGGGAUGUACAGGAAGGGCUACACAUUGGUCCGAAGAGGAAGUGAAGAGGAGAUGUCACUGCUGAGAGCUCAUGAAAUGGAACAAGGAGAAAUGGAUUCAAAUCACAGCAGUCAGACAAAUGGAGCUGAACAGGAGUUCAAUUUUGGUGACAUUUUCAUGCACCAAGCUAUUCACACCAUUGAAUAUUGCCUGGGGUGUGUAUCUAACACUGCUUCAUACCUGAGACUCUGGGCCCUCAGCCUGGCUCAUGCUCAACUUUCGGAGGUCCUGUGGGGGAUGGUGCUGCACGUGGGUCUUCAUAUGGAUAGUGAUUAUGGUUCACUAUUAUUGUUCCCCGCCUUUGCCUUCUUUGCAGUUCUAACUGUAGCCAUUUUACUGGUCAUGGAGGGACUUUCAGCAUUCCUACAUGCACUCCGACUGCAUUGGGUGGAAUUUCAAAACAAGUUCUACACGGGCAGUGGAUACAAAUUUUCUCCAUUCUCUUUUGAGCUGCUUACUCAGAAUAUUAAUGACUUUGCCUAGAAAAUUGCUUUAUACAUCUGAGUUUGAUGAGUGUCGGUGGCAUGAUCAUGUGACACAGCUUCUCACGACAAACUUUUUGCACUGAAUGCCUUACCAAAUACAUAUGCUCCUUUCUCUACUAAAGAUCAAUCAUUGCUUUUAUUGCAACCUCAGGAUCAUAUUCGUCUGCUUUGAUAAUAAUUGCUCCAGUGGUUCAUUUUGACUUUUCGCUGAUGUUCAGCUGCUGGAAAGGGGAGACUUGUGACAUGGAGGAGGAGGAGAAGUGAGAGAGAAGCACAGGGACUUCAGCACACUGACUGCUGUCACCUUCCCUCCAUGAUGGACUCAUUGCCAUUUUGGAACUCAUUGUCCUGUGUUGUGGUACUUGCUACAAUGUGGCAGUGUAGUGAACUUGUUUAAUACUUUAAAAUAUCUAUACUGCUAAUGUGCUCAACCACUGUAAUCAAACCUCAAAAAUGCUUCAUUGGCAAAAAUUGGUGGGAGACUGCCAAUGGUUGCAAAAUGUAUGAUAUAAAUGCAAGUCUGUCUUUGUCUUUUAUACAGUUUAGCUGCUACUAGCAGCAAAGUUUACAGGGAGUUUAUUUAUGUAACAAAGAUAAUUUGAUGCAAUAUCAUUAAAUUUCAAAUAAAUGUAAAGCCUUUUCUAGUGCUUCUGGAAUGAAAUGCUGAAUUAGUUCAGUUACUUGUACUGUUUCUGUCAGGUUAUAAUGUGCUUGAAUUUCCUUAUUUGAUAUGAGCAGAGGUGGUUAUGUUGAUCAGGCUAACAGAUUGAAAAGGUAAUUUAUUGUAAAGAGAUUGUAAAACUCCCAGAUUCCUGCUACAGGUGCAAUUCUGAAAUCACUUUAGUUUUAUUGCAUGUAAAUAAUUAUUUUAUUAAUGUGGCUGUAUAAUUUGUAAAUGUCCCUGGUACAGUAGAAUUUAAUGAUUCAAGACUUCAUACUCCUGUAAAAUCUAUUAAAUUUAGCAAUUUUAAUAAAUAAACUAUAAAUAUUUCUACCAUUUAAUAUUUAAGAUAUUUUUCUCUUUAGCAAUUUUGCAUCCGUAACCUGAUCUAACAUUCACUGUCUGCAGAGAGACAUGGUUAAAAUUGCUGUUAAAAUAUUUUAUGUAUAUAAUAAAAUAAUGUUUCUGUUUAACCUUGGAGUACUGCUACCUGAAUGGGAUUUUAGUUUCGUACCAAAAAUAAAAAGUUUAUAUGUUCAGCA